UUCGGUGUGACAGUGAAGAGAGCGGGGCAUGAUGGAUCGGAUUUGUCAGACGAAGAAUGCACGUGACCAUGACUGUUACAGGAAUGAGUUUCAUUUGAUUAUUUAACUCAGGUAUUUUCGAGUUCCUUUUACAAAAAAAUAACUAUACACAAUGUCUUAGAAGCCGUUUCUAAUGGAACGAACGCGGGACCGUUCCGGAUUUUAGCGAAGUCGUGUUUCACGUGCUCUGCAGAACUUGGGCUUGAACUUGACUUUUAAAGGGGAGCUCUCGGGGGGGAGCGCCCCGACUUCAAAAUUGGAAUAAAUACGUUUCGAAG